AUGUUGGGUCUCUCUCUCAUCUGUAGCCGGUUCAGUAUGUGCCUCUUUACCGCCUCCAGGAAAUCGAUGUUCAUGAGCUCCGACUGAUCCGGCGCCCUGAAGCCGCAGGACGCGCACGACUCCUGGGUCUGUGAUCUUUCUGGAGCCUCGGCCUCAAAAUAUGUGGAAUUCUACUCCAACAAAACAUGGCGGAUACUUCGGAGCAUAGAGACUGAAACCAAUGAGUGACAUCACAGCGGCUGUACAGUCCAUGAGCAACACACAAGGAAACAUAUUGCCAUGUCUGAUGCAAGAAAAACUAUACCCACUGGCAGAACUCCAGGAAAAACACCAGGCCCUGCUCUUUACUUGAUACGCCCACCGUUGCAGUGAUGCAUGGUGGAGGCAGCAUCAUGCUGUGGAGGCAUUCCUCAACUAGUAGAUAUGGUUGCUAGGGUGAUUUCAGCCAAGCAUAUCCACAGUUUGAAGGUUAGAUGUUCAACAGCGAUUUCUCCAGCACCAGGGACAGGAGACUCCCCAUCCAGCCCAACCAAGCUUGAGAUGAUCUUCUAGGAAGAGUGGGAGAAACUUCCCAAAUCCAAGAGUCUGUACACACUCAACCAAGAUGUCCAAAAUGUAACUGCUGGCAAACAGGCUUUGAAAAAACUAAGAGUCUGAAUAUCACAUCUGAAAUUUUAGCUUUUAAUUCUGAAUGCAUAAAAAAAAUAUGUAAACUGGAUUUUAAAAAAUGUAAUCUGUAACACAAUAAAGCAUCAAUAGUUUUUUUUUAAUGCAAUGAUUAAAUGUAAUAAUCCAGUUGUAAAGGGAUGUCAUAAUACUUACAACACUUGAUAUUUUAUACUUCACUCUUUUGGUAAUCUAUAAUAACCUCUCAAAUUUAACUACAUAAGAAGAAAACAUCAGUGUAGGAUUCCUUUCAUCGGGUCUUUAGCUCUACAAUCCCCAAAGGAAAAGGCACCUGCUGCUCUAAAUGAGGGCCAGUAUGUUGCACAGCAGUCAGAUUAGACUGUGCAGCCUCUAAGUCCCAGUAAGAGUGCCUGUUGUAGUUUUCAGAAGCGUCUGUGUGUCAUGUGUGGAGCAGCAAUGUAGGUCAAUAGGUCAAAAGAAAUGAAGAGCAGCAGCAGCGGCGAUGGAUUAGAGGAGCCUGGCCUGCAGCAUAAUAGCUGAUUAAGUUACUCUCCUACAGGUGUACCCACACAAAGCCAGAGUAAUCCCAGAACAGAUGUACUUACCUAAUCAGAGAGAAAAUAAAAGUUGGAUCAAUAAAGGUCAACAUGAACUCUAUUUAGCAUUUUAUUAAUGCUGAGAUUCUAGGCAGACCCAGUGUUCAAAUUCACUGAACUUCUCGGUAAAAUCAAGUGGAAAUCCAAAGUUUCUGAGGUUUACAUUCUGACUUCCCCUUUUUUUGGUAAACUCAGCCUGAAGUCCACAGAUAUUUUUCAAAAAUAUGUAACUUUUCAUUUUUAAAGAGUGGGUUUUAGCAAACCCCAAACAUGAGGAUUUGUUGCACUUUACAGGGACAAUUUACAGAAGUGGAUUAAUAAAAACAUUUGAAGCCUUGGCAUUUCUAACAGGAUUUCUGGGGAAAAAGAGGGUCAGCCAUGAAACAUGUUUAAAUUUAGAAAGUCAUAAAAGUUCAGUGCAAUAAAGCGCCAAUGGUCAUAUAGAGAUCUUUUUAGACAUCCAGUAACUCUGAGGCAGUUACAUUAAAGUGUUACACAUUACUCAAAAAAUAAAGCACAGACAGCAUACAGGACACAACAGCAGCAUCGUACAAACUCCAUCAGCUACAAUGAAGGUACAGGAGCCCCUCGGUGACAAUAUUUGCAUCUAAUGUAAUAAAAACUUCAUGAAUUCAUAGCUGUUUAAAGGGGAUUGAGCCGGUCAUGAAAAUCUGAUGUAAACGACAAAGUUCUUUUUAAAAACAGACAUAACUUGAUGAAAUCAAACCCAUCUGUGAGUUUAAAGGGAUUUUUAGUCAGAAGUGAAAACAGACAUAGGUAAACAGUUCAUCUCCUGGAGCUCAUUGAUGGAGUCUGUGGAGCUGUGACGCCCUCUUGUGUAGUGUAGCUGACAUUACUGUUAGGUGAAAGCAUUCGUUGAUUGCGCUUCAGAUUUGGAAGAUUGUCAGGCUGGACUGUGUUCAAAUUUCUGAGCACGUGAAAACAUUUCCAAACGGUCACAGCUGUGUGGUCAGUAAGAGGAGCCGAUCAGCGGGCAGGUUCAGUGUUUCAAAGUUUUAUGACAAUUUCCUUUUGUUUUUGUUAAGGUUGUGUCCUGGCAUAAGGACGCACUCAGCGCACUAUUAUUUUACAACUCACUAAUAUUCCUCACUGACCUUUAGGUGACCUUUAGGUGAUAUUUCUAUGUACUUUUGCAAUACUUUUUAAUUGAAAAAAAAUUAAUCCUUUUAGAGAAUUUGUUAUGACUUUGACACUCUUCAGAUAUUUGAGGGAUCUAUAUAUUUUCUGUUUCUGCGAAAAAUCUUGCCGAUCUUCCACAUCUGCAGCCCAGAUGUUCAGAUUUAGUUUGAAAGUAAAGCAUGGAGGUAACAAACAGCCUGACUGUGAGGUCUCCAGUGCAAUAUGUUGUUGAUCAAAGUAUUGCACAGUCGUCAUGUUAAAAUAAUAUAAGCAUACUGUAAAUCAGUCAAACAUACGUUCAGUUUACUUUUUGUACUUUUAUUAAAACAAAGAAGUUGUUUUGUGAGAAGUAACAGAUGGGAAUUGUUUAAAUAAAUGUCCUUAUCGUAGAACAGGUUAGAAUUUCUGUCAUGAAGCUAUAUUCCUGUAAAAAUAUGAGAACAUAAAUCAUUUUGGUCAUUUUAAAAGGAGCUGUGGGAGAAGCUCAGCUGACGAGCAAAUGCAACACGAUUUCAAACAUAUUUUUUACUCAAGUAGAAAUAUUCUUAACUCACUCAGACACACGUUCACCUUUGUUGGCACCACCUGAAGGGAGUUUGUGUAUUUUAAAUGAGUAUUUCUUGCUCAUACGGUUUCGAUUCAGCUCAGCAGGUUUGCUCAUUACAGUUGAUUUUUUAUUGUUUGAUAAUGUUCAGUUUUAGAUUAGCUGUUCUGUCUCAUGUGAUGUGUGGUAUUGAUCAUAGACAGAUUUAAGGAGGUCAGAAGAAUAAAAUAAUCCAUCACAACACAAAGAGCUGACUCACUCUUUAGAUGUCCCUGCCUCAGUAAGUACCAAUGGUAAGUACACACACUCCAAAGCCUUCUGACACUGCAAAUACUUAUUUUAAUGUUAAUGAAAUAAUACUUAUUUUUCAUUUAUUUCUGUUUUGCUCUUUUUUCAGUUCAUUAGAUACCUGAGUAUAGCUGUUGCCUAUCUGUAUGACCGCAAUGUACCCAUCUUCUGAUGGCUGCUUCCAGCAGGAUAACAUGCUGUGUCACAUAUCUGGUAUCUGGUAUCAUCAAGAUGACAAUGAGUUCAAUGUACAGCCACUGUGUGAUGCUGUCAUGUCAAUGUGGAACAAAAUCUCUCUGAGGAAUGUUUGCAGAAACUUGGGUGAAUCUGCGCCAUGAACAAUUAACUAAAGUAGGUCCACCCUGGUGGUAGCAUGGUGUACCUAAUGAAGUGUACAAUGGGAGUACAACUAAGAAUAAAAAUGCACUGAAUCUGUCUUUAUUAAUACAGGAAUAAACAACUACAGGACCAAAAUAAAUAAAAUGAUGACCUGCUUUGUUUGUCCUCCUCACAGCUCAGUGUGGGAGUCUUUCCUCCAGUUAUUUACAGUCACGUUAGUUUCUCCUUUCUCAGUCUCUGUGAUGCACCUCCUCAAACACAGGGUGGAGCAGACAGACACCGGAGAAGGCAAAUCAUAUUAAUGAUGUGCUCUACAGCAUGUUACUGCAAGUGUAAAACCAAGUGUAAAAAAAGUGUUAAACCAAGCCUUUUAGUGGAGCUGGCUCAGUUGCUGGGGAGUAAAAAACGUUUGCAAACAUCAAAGAAAACCUGUCAGUGAAGCAGCAUCUAACCUCUCCACACUGCUGACGCCUAGUUUAUAAAACACAGAACACAGAGCUCAGCCCGAUUCAGCUUUCUGAGUCAAAUAUCAGAUCGCUGAAUCGCUGUUUUUCUCAGAUUUUGUUCCUUUGUGUACAUGAACACAGACAUACACAUAUGGAGGCACCGACUGUGAAAUUCUGGGCUGAUGCUCACUAAAGAUCUGAUUCCAAUACCUUCCCUGUUCUUACAGACACUAUGAACAGAUACACAGAACAGAUACUGUGUUUUUUCACAUUCACUGUAAACAGAACACCACAGCUUUCUGUAAUGCCAUUUUCCCACAAUUUACUUGAAUGUUGCAAAAAAUGUUAAAUUCAAAA